AUUGAACGCUGGCGGCAUGCCUUACACAUGCAAGUCGAACGGCAGCAUGAUCUAGCUUGCUAGAUUGAUGGCGAGUGGCGAACGGGUGAGUAAUACAUCGGAACGUGCCCUGUAGUGGGGGAUAACUAGUCGAAAGAUUAGCUCAUACCGCAUACGACCUGAGGGUGAAAGUGGGGGACCGCAAGGCCCCAUGCUAUAGGAGCGGCCGAUGUCUGAUUAGCUAGUUGGUGAGGUAAAGGCUCACCAAGGGGACGAUCAGUAGCUGGUCUGAGAGGGCGUUCAGCCACACUGGGACUGAGACACGGCCCAGACUCCUACGGGAGGCAGCAGUGGGGAAUUUUGGACAAUGGGCGAAAGCCUGAUCCAGCAAUGCCGCGUGUGUGAAGAAGGCCUUCGGGUUGUAAAGCACUUUUGUCCGGAAAGAAAUGGCUCUGGUUAAUACCUGGGGUCGAUGACGGUACCGGAAGAAUAAGGACCGGCUAACUACGUG
rnacentral:rRNA from 1 species